AGACAUAACAAAGUAGUUGCAAAGUACAAAUCUGAAAGACAAGGAACCUGUACAAUCAAAGGACUUUUGACAAUCCUAUCAAAAACUAGAACUUGAACACUAGAAAAACAAUCUAGAUGGACUAGUUGCCAUGAUCAAGCUCCAGGUUAACAGAUACCAUGCUACAGAAAUCGUUCGAUUCAACUACAGACUAAAACGGGAAGUAAAACACUUUAUAACAACGAGGACGACUUCUUAAUACGAAAACUAACAUACUAGAACUAUGAAAGACUGUCUGAUUCUGCAGUGUAGUACUAAUACCCAAGGCGAAUGCAUGAUAUCCAUGUAAAUUUUAGAGAAGCAUAAUUAGUUCAUCCACGAAAGACGGGAGAAGGAGCAACACUAGUGAAAACUUUAGCACCAGGACUUAGGUAACUGUAAUCUCAGGAUACCGUGGUUGUGUAAAGAGGCAGCCUCCGUGUGAAACCGGAGACUGAAUGAAGCGGAACAAGCUUUGAAGUAGAUGAAGCCUGCAAAAAAUGAUGGAGAAAGUUGUUUUGUCAUAGCCUCCUGGAAAACAGCAAAGCCACUGGAGCAUCACAAGGCCAUAAGUUAGCCAAAAACCACAAUCAUGUUUACUUCUAUCCCAUCAAGAUUAAUGAACCAAAUAGCUAGGACUCGUAGUUCGAACACCUUUGGAUGAUGCAUAGCCUUGUGCUCCAGUUGGCUUUUAGGAGAGGAUAUCACACCUCCACAAGUCCUCAACAAGAGCCUCGACUCUGCUGCUACCGAUGGAGCUGCAGUGCUGGAGAUUCAAACCAAUCAAGCUCUCACCCAAUGUUCUAAGAGACGAAAAGCUCUUGUUUGUUACCAUGGAGCAACCUGAUAGUGAAAGAACCUGCAAAUUCAUUUGCACUCCUUGAGAUAAAGCAGCUACACCCGAAUCAGUUAUUGAACACUUCGAAACAUCAAGAUCGUUAAGUAAUAGACAAUUAUCAGCAAUUGCCACCAAGCUUGCAUCGGUAACCUUCCUGCAU
rnacentral:misc_RNA from 1 species